AGUGAACGCUGGCGGUAGGCCUAACACAUGCAAGUCGAACGGCAGCACAGUAAGAGCUUGCUCUUACGGGUGGCGAGUGGCGGACGGGUGAGGAAUACAUCGGAAUCUACUUUUUCGUGGGGGAUAACGUAGGGAAACUUACGCUAAUACCGCAUACGACCUACGGGUGAAAGCAGGGGAUCUUCGGACCUUGCGCGAUUGAAUGAGCCGAUGUCGGAUUAGCUAGUUGGCGGGGUAAAGGCCCACCAAGGCGACGAUCCGUAGCUGGUCUGAGAGGAUGACCAGCCACACUGGAACUGAGACACGGUCCAGACUCCUACGGGAGGCAGCAGUGGGGAAUAUUGGACAAUGGGCGCAAGCCUGAUCCAGCCAUACCGCGUGUGUGAAGAAGGCCUUCGGGUUGUAAAGCCCUUUUGUUGGGAAAGAAAAGCAGCAGGUUAAUACCCCGCUGUUCUGACGGUACCCAAAGAAUAAGCACCGGCUAACUUCGUG
rnacentral:rRNA from 1 species